rnacentral:lncRNA from 1 species
AGAGCGCGGAGGCGCGGAGGCCUGUGUAGCCGUAGCCGCUGCCCCACCUCAGUGUUAGUUUCUAGGCGCCGCGGUUUUCUGCGCUUCAGCAGUGGAUCUUGGUGGGUUCGGGGCAGCUUGGGGCGGACAAGAAUGCUGAAGGCUUUUGCCCAUACUGCUCCCUUUGCUGAACACUGCAUUUGGUCACUCGAAUUCACCCACGAGGUCUCUGUUUAGACGAUGCUUGUUCCAGACAGAGAGAAAUUCCCUCUGUCUCUGGCUCUGUAAGUGAGAUCAGAGCUUCAAAAAUACCACCC